GAUGAACGCUAGCGGCAGGCUUAAUACAUGCAAGUCGAGGGGUAGCAAGAUUGUAGCAAUACAAUUGUUGACGACCGGCAAACGGGUGCGGAGCACGUACACAACCUUCCUACAAGUGGGGAAUAGCCCAGAGAAAUUUGGAUUAAUACCCCGUAACAUAGCGAUGUGGCAUCACAUUGCUAUUAUAGCUUCGGCGCUUGUUGAUGGGUGUGCGGCUGAUUAGAUAGUUGGCGGGGUAACGGCCCACCAAGUCUACGAUCAGUAGCUGAUGUGAGAGCAUGAUCGACCACACGGGCACUGAGACACGGGCCCGACUCCUACGGGAGGCAGCAGUAAGGAAUAUUGGACAAUGGACGCAAGUCUGAUCCAGCCAUGCCGCGUGAAGGAUUAAGGUCCUCUGGAUUGUAAACUUCUUUUAUAAGGGACGAAAAAAGGUCUUUCUAGAUCGUCUGACGGUACCUUAUGAAUAAGCACCGGCUAACUCCGUGCCAGCCGCCGCUGUAACAC
rnacentral:rRNA from 1 species